UACGAAGGGGGCUAGCGUUGUUCGGAAUUACUGGGCGUAAAGCGCACGUAGGCGGAUCGAUCAGUCAGGGGUGAAAUCCCAGAGCUCAACUCUGGAACUGCCUUUGAUACUGUCGAUCUAGAGUAUGGAAGAGGUGAGUGGAAUUCCGAGUGUAGAGGUGAAAUUCGUAGAUAUUCGGAGGAACACCAGUGGCGAAGGCGGCUCACUGGUCCAUUACUGACGCUGAGAUGCGAAAGCGUGGGGAGCAAACAGG
rnacentral:rRNA from 1 species